CACCGAUUCAACCGUCUCCUGCUCCGGUCAGUUACUACAAAAUGGCUGCAGAGGCUCCGCCGCCGAUGAGAACCUACUGAACGCUUCAUGCUGUGAAAAGAAGCAAAAAAAAACACGAGAAGAGAACCAUUUGAUGGAAGAUAAGAAAAAGAAAAAGCAAGACGAGAAGAAAAAGAAAGAAGCUGCUCAAAAAAAGGCCACAGAACAGAUAACCAAAGUGCCAGACUCUGCCAAGCCCGACCCCGCCCUUCCUCCUGCCCCCGUCAGCCCCAGCGCCGCCCCGUCUGUACCCCCAAGCAGUGGAAAUGGCAAGCGGGCCCCGCCGGGAGGCCAGCCUCAGACAGCCCAGCAGCCCCAGACCCCGGUCCAGCAGCGCUACCCACCCAGAGAGGUGCCUCCACGCUUCCGCCAGCAGGAGCACAAGCAGCUGCUGAAGAGGGGUCAGCCGCUGCCUGCCGGGACGCUGCCGCUCAUCACCACGGGACGCGCCGCCACUAGUGAACCUGCAGCAACAGUAGCCAUACACUCCUCUCCCUCCUCUUCCUCCACAGCCAGCCUGCCCACAGGUCAGCCUGGACACUCUCUUAGCAAACUCAAACUAAACUUCAGAGAAAAUGCAUUUAGUGAUUAUGGGAAGUGAAGGUUGCUGUAUUUUACUGACAACAUAAUGGGUAUAUUUACACUACAGUUCAAGAAUUCGAGGUCUCUUAGAAAUAUAAUUAUUUUUGAAAAGCUGUUUUUUUCAAUGAAGAUACCAUUAAAUGAAUGAUAAAUCCAGAGCAGACAUUGUUAAUGUGGU
ensembl:lncRNA